CUUUUACGUCGGCCUUCGCGAGCGUCUGGGCGGGUGGUAGGUGAGUGGGUAUUGCGGGCUAGUAUCCGAGCAAAAGAUGGUGGCGCAGGCCGAGUUAAGAGCUUUAAUCCUGUGAAGACAUCUUAGUGAAGAGUUUAGAGUGCUGAGAGUUGAAAGCUUGCACGUGGGAAACGUGCGGCCGGACUGCCACAUGUACUGAGGUUGAGUCGUGACGGCCACAGGCUCCGAGUUUUGGCGUGAGGAACCGCUGAUCGGCCACGGGCGCCGAACUUGCUGGCCUCCGGCAUGUGCCUGAGCGGCGGCGGAAAAACCACCUUAAUUGGGGCGGAGGGUUAGUUUUAACAGCAAAGGGCCUUUACUAAAAUGGCGAAGGCCUUCCGUCGGCGUUGUUUUAAAAUGGGAAGCCUCGACCCUGUAUUGAAACUGAGCUGUUCGAAGGCGGCGUUGUGUGCAAUUCGGAUUAAUGAAGGGGAAGGGUUUUGUGUGGAAAAACGCCUUGGAGUGUGACAUUUCUGCGAGAAUGCUUAAAUACCGAUUUCCCGCAGGAACAAUGGCGCUGUCUUCAGUGGCACAGUGGAGCAGCUCUGAAGAUGCAAAGGUAAGAGCUUAGUUAAGCUUAGUUUCCAAACUAAAGGAGUAAACCUGUUGAUUUACAGGAAUAGGAACUGUUGCAUCGUUUGAAAUUUACUUUUUUUUGUUAGAUACACGAAAAAACUUCCAGAACAUCUGGGAGAAUAUUUAAUGGAAAAUCGCUUGGUUAAAACCUGACACUUUUAACAGGUAUGUGUUGUUUUAGUACUUUAUGAUUGAGCAUAGCAUUUAAUCCACACCUAGACUAAAUCAAAUUUUUUUUGUCAGUGAACAGCGUUCUGAGUGUGGACGAGUAGCCAGUGAAGAUAAUGAAUGUCGAAUGUGACUGACUAGCAGCUUCAUUUUGAAUGAGGGUCGCUGUCUGCCCAUUGA
rnacentral:lncRNA from 1 species